rnacentral:tRNA from 2 species
AUUUCUAUAUUAAUAUAGUUUAAGAAAAACAUUACAUUUUCAUUGUAGAAUUAAAUAUUAACUAUUUUAUAA